rnacentral:misc_RNA from 1 species
GAUGAAGAACGUAGCGAAAUGCGAUAAGUAAUGUGAAUUGCAGAAUUCCGUGAAUCAUCGAAUCUUUGAACGCACAUUGCGCCCCCUGGUAUUCCGGGGGGCAUGCCUGUCCGAGCGUCAUUGCAACCCUCAAGCGCGGCUUGUGUGUUGGGCUUCGUCCCCCCGUGGACGUGCCCGAAAGGCAGUGGCGGCGUCCCGAAUGGUGCCCGAGCGUAUGGGAACUCUCUUCCGCUCGAACCGGCCCAUUCGGCGCUGGUCGAACCCCAAUUUUUUUUUACCGGUUGACCUCGGAUCAGGUAGGGAUGCCCGCUGAACUUAAGCAUAUCAAUAAGCGGAGGA